rnacentral:rRNA from 1 species
GACAGAGGUGCCGAGCGUUAGGCGGAAUCACUGGGCUUAAAGCGUGUGUAGGCGGAGCAUUAAGUACCUUGUGAAAUCCCCCGGCUCAACCGGGGAAUUGCUGGGCAUACUGGCGGUCUUGAGCAAUCUAGGGGCAGAUGGAACAAGUGGUGGAGCGGUGAAAUGCGUAGAUAUCACUUGGAACGCCAACGGUGAAGACAGUCUGCUGGGGAUUUGCUGACGCUGAGACACGAAAGCCAGGGGAGCGAACGGG